rnacentral:piRNA from 1 species
UGAGAUUGGUGGAAACUAGUG